GAUUGUUGGUGGUGAGAAUUGGGAGUUGCCUUGCUCUAUUCAAACGCUUUUCAUAGGCAAUCUGAAAACAUUAAGCAGUCAAGUUCUCAACAGCCUCACCUCUCUUGAAUCCCUGCGGACUUUUAAUUUACUUCAAGUUCAGUCACUUCUGGAAGAAGGGCUUCCCUCCUCUCUUUCUAAGCUAUAUUUAUGUGACCAUGAUGAGCUCCAUUCACUACCGACCGAAGGUCUUCAGCACCUCACUUCGCUUCAAAGUCUUCACAUCAGCAAUUGCCAUCAACUUCAAUCACUUCCCGAAUCAGCUCUGCCCUCCUCCCUCUCUGAGCUGGCCAUCUGGAAAUGCCUUAAUCUCCAAUCACUUCCAGUAAAAGGGAUGCCCUCUUCCCUCUCUAAACUAUAUAUUGACGAAUGCCCAUUGCUCGAACCACUCGUAAAAUUUGACAAGGGGGAGUACUGGCCAAAAAUUGCUCAUAUUCCUGAAAUAUAUUUCAGUGUCUCAAUACUUGACCACGAAUGCCUGUGAUGAUUAAUAAAAAGAAGCUCCCACACAUGAGUUGUUCAAUCAUUUUGCAGAAUCAUUUGGAAGGGCGUGAAUUCUUGGAAAAACAAAAUAUCUAAUGCACAAUGAGAUAUACUUUGCUUUUUCCUUGUAAGAAAACUGCAUCAAACUUGGAAAGCAAAAAAAAAGAAAAGUUGAAAGAAGAUUUUCAAACA